rnacentral:rRNA from 1 species
UACGAAGGGUGCAAGCGUUACUCGGAAUUACUGGGCGUAAAGCGUGCGUAGGUGGUUCGUUAAGUCUGUCGUGAAAGCCCCGGGCUCAACCUGGGAAUGGCGAUGGAUACUGGCGGGCUAGAGUGCGGUAGAGGAGAGUGGAAUUCCCGGUGUAGCAGUGAAAUGCGUAGAGAUCGGGAGGAACAUCAGUUGCGAAGGCAGCCCCCUGGGCUAACACUGACGCUCAUGCACGAAAGCGUGGGGAGCAAACAGG